GCCGACCCGCCACAAAUGGGCAGCCUAAGUCUCUGGAUCGGACUUUCCCACGGUCUAUGCAAUCUUUUGCUACCAGAGAGAGAGGGAGUCGUCCCUGUAAUUUCGUCUCUUCUCGCCAGUUCACCUAGAGAGCGAGAGAGAGCUUCGAAGUUCGACAGAUCUUCGAUCCAAUUGUUGUCGGAGAAGAAGAAGAAGACGAAGAAGAAGAAUAGGGAACCGAAAUGCUGCCCACUGUAUCAAAAGGGCGUAUGCCUUCUCAAGUUCGGUCCAAUCCUGUUUUCCCCCAAUACCUCCGGCGAAUUGUCAAGCUAUCAGCACACCAAGUACCAUAAGCAAACUAAGAAUCAAUGGGCACGUGAUGACCCGGCUUUCAUUGUAAUUUGCUGUCUUCUUUUGGCUGUUUCUACUUUGGCUUACUGUGCCGCGUAUGACCAUAGUGUGUCACAUGCUGUUUUUGUCAUUAUUGCAGUAUUGGUCUUCCACUUUUUACUAGUCGGAGUAGUUCUGGCCACAUGUUGUUGGUUCCUGACAAAUAAUUAUCUUCGAGAGGAAGCUCCAAAUAGUCAUGUGGUGGAGCAAAGGGUUGAAUGGCAAGUUUGGGAACUCUGCACCUCCCACUUCAGCUGUAUGCUUUUGAUGUACACUGCAACUCUUUCUUCCCAAUGUUUGUUAUGCUUUAUGUGAUACAUUAUUUCCUAUCACCACUUCUGGUUGCUCACGGUUUCAUCCCAGUUUUGCUAUCAAAUUUGAUUUUUAUGGUGGCGGUCUCCUACUAUCAUUAUCUCAAUUUUUUAGGUUAUGAUGUACUGCCUUUUCUGGAACGGACCACUUUUUUCUUGUAUCCAAUUGGCAUUUUCAUCAUCCUGUCACCUAUCUUGAUUCUAGGCGGCUUCAAUCCAACAAGAUACUUCAUGAACAUGUACUUCAGUCAACGGUUGUGAUUCGCCAUGGCUAACACUUCAGAUGGAACAUAUACAACAAUGAUGUGAGUUGGAAUUAGAUGAGUCAUUGCAGGAACAUAAACAGCUUUAAUGAGUGCAUGAUUGGUGUUUAUACAUGUAAACAGAAGGCAAGAUAACCACAUGGAAAACCUUAUCUAGUUAUAGUCCUUUGAUCGCUACAAUAAAAAAUCCGAACCAAGUGAUGUCGGGGCUAAAAAAAUUGUUGUUUUUUCCUCUGGCCAAGAAAAUCAAUCACUGAAUUUGUUAAAUGUAAUGAUUUUGCCCAUUGGCAAUUGUCAUUUGUCCCUUAGGAUGUGUUAGUGUAUAGCUUUUUCCUCAAUUCGGAGAAUAUUAAAAAAACUGAAAUAUGUUUGUUGAAUUUCUUGGGAUAUUCUAUAGAAAGAAUCAAUUUUUAUUGAA